rnacentral:tRNA from 1 species
GGGCGUCUGGCCCAGGCGGCGCUGGGCGGUGCGGAUGCCCUGGCGCAGCGCCUCGGCGGACUCGGCGUCGUUCAUGCCGGCGAUGGCCC